CCUACGGGAGGCAGCAGUAGGGAAUUUUCCGCAAUGGGCGAAAGCCUGACGGAGCAAUACCGCGUGAGGGAUGACUGCCUAUGGGUUGUAAACCUCUUUUUUCAGGGAGGAAUAAAUGACGUGUACCUGAAGAAUAAGCAUCGGCUAACUCCGUGCCAGCAGCCGCGGUAAGACGGAGGAUGCAAGUGUUAUCCGGAAUCACUGGGCGUAAAGCGUCUGUAGGUGGCUCAACAAGUCAACUGUUAAAUCUUGAAGCUCAACUUCAAAAUCGCAGUCGAAACUAUUGAACUAGAGUAUAGUAGAGGUAAAGGGAAUUUCCAGUGGAGCGGUGAAAUGCGUAGAGAUUGGAAAGAACACCAAUGGCGAAGGCACUUUACUGGGCUAUUACUGACACUCAGAGACGAAAGCUAGGGUAGCAAAUGGGAUUAGAUACCCCAGUAGUCCUAGCCGUAAACAAUGGAUACUAGGUGUUGAACAGAUCGACCUGUGCAGUACUAAAGCUAACGCGUUAAGUAUCCCGCCUGGGAAGUAUGCCACGCAGUAGUGAACACAAAGAAGUUAGACGGCGUGAGACGUCGCCGACGGACGACGACGAGGGAGGUUAGG
rnacentral:rRNA from 1 species